rnacentral:rRNA from 1 species
GACAAACGCUGGCGGCAUGCCUAACACAUGCAAGUCGAACGGACAGAACAGGGAAGCUUUUCGGAGUGGAACUGGAAAGUUAGUGGCGGAUGGGUGAGUAACGCGUGGACAACCUACCUUGUAAAGGGGAAUAACCUCGAGAAAUCGAAGCUAAUACCCCAUAAUAACCUUGCUUCGCAUGAAGUAAGGAGGAAAGGCGGCCUUAGCGCUGUCGAUACAAGAUGGGUCCGCGUCUGAUUAGCUAGUUGGUGAGGUAAAGGCUCACCAAGGCGACGAUCAGUAGCCGACCUGAGAGGGUGAACGGCCACAUUGGGACUGAGACACGGCCCAAACUCCUACGGGAGGCAGCAGUGGGGAAUCUUCCGCAAUGGGCGAAAGCCUGACGGAGCAAUGCCGCGUGAGUGAAGAAGGCCUUCGGGUUGUAAAACUCUGUCCUUAUCGAAGAGAGAGUGUUGUAGUAACUGACAAUACUAGGACGGUAGAUGAGGAGGAAGCCCCGGCUAACUAUGUG